CUAAAAGAUGGCGACCGGCGCACGGGUGAGUAACACGUAUCCAACCUGCCGAUAACUCGGGGAUAGCCUUUCGAAAGAAAGAUUAAUAUCCGAUGGUAUAUUUUCUCCGCAUGGUGAGAAUAUUAAAGAAUUUCGGUUAUCGAUGGGGAUGCGUUCCAUUAGUUUGUUGGCGGGGUAACGGCCCACCAAGACCACGAUGGAUAGGGGUUCUGAGAGGAAGGUCCCCCACAUUGGAACUGAGACACGGUCCAA
rnacentral:rRNA from 1 species